AUGGCUCAUUAUAUAAGUUAUCGUUUAUUUGAUAUUGCCUAUCCUACAUGGAUAACAGUGGUAAUUCUAGAGCUAAUACAUGCUGAAAAUCCCAACUUCGGAAGGGACGUAUUUAUUAGAAUCAGAACCAAUGCCCUUCGGGGUUUUUUGGUGAAUCAUGAUAACUCCACAGAUCGCAUGGCCUUGCGCCGGCGAUGGCUCAUUCAAAUUUCUUCCCUAUCAACUUUCGACGGUACGGUCUUGGCCUACCGUGGUUGUAACGGGUGACGGAGGGUUAGGGCUCGACCCCGGAGAGGGAGCCGGAGGAACGGCUACCACAUCCAAGGAAGGCAGCAGGCGCGCAAAUUAUCCAAUCCCAACUCGGGGAGAUAGUGACAAUAAAUACCGAUACAGGGCUCUUUUGGGCCCUGUAAUUGGAAUGAGUACAAUUUAAACCUCUUAACGAGGAACAAUUGGAGGGCAAGUCUGGUGCCAGCAGCCGCGGUAAUUCCAGCUCCAAUAGCGUAUAUUAAAGUUGUUGUGGUUAAAAAGCUCGUAGUCGAACCUCGAGCCUGGCCGGCCGGUCCGCCUCACCGCGUGCACUGGUCUGGCCGGGCUCUUCCCUCUGCGGAACCUCAUGCCCUUUACUGGGUGUGUUGGGGAGGCAGGACUUUUACUUUGAAAAAAUUAGAGUGCUCAAGGCAGGCCAAUGCUCGAAUACAUUAGCAUGGAAUAAUAGAAUAGGACGUUGGUUCUAUUUUGUUGGUUUCUAGGACCGCCGUAAUGAUCAAUAGGGACGGUCGGGGGCAUCAGUAUUCAGCCGUCAGAGGUGAAAUUCUUGGACCGGCUGAAGACUAACUACUGCGAAAGCAUUUGCCAAGGACGUUUUCGCUGAUCAGGAACGAAAGUUAGGGGAUCGAAGACGAUCAGAUACCGUCGUAGUCUUAACCAUAAACUAUGCCGACUAGGGAUCGGGCGGCGUUCUUUCUA
rnacentral:rRNA from 1 species